CACGUAGGGGGCAAGCGUUGUCCGGAUUUAUUGGGCGUAAAGAGCUCGUAGGCGGCUCAGUAAGUCGGGUGUGAAACCUCCAGGCUCAACCUGGAGACGCCACCCGAUACUGCUGUGGCUUGAGUCCGGUAGGGGAGCGUGGAAUUCCUGGUGUAGCGGUGAAAUGCGCAGAUAUCAGGAGGAACACCAGCGGCGAAAGCACUCUGUUGGGCCGACACUGACACUAAGAGACGAAAGCUAGGGGAGCAAAUGGG
rnacentral:rRNA from 1 species